rnacentral:rRNA from 1 species
UACGUAGGGGGCGAGCGUUAUCCGGAUUUACUGGGUGUAAAGGGAGCGUAGACGGCAGCGCAAGUCUGGAGUGAAAUGCCGGGGCUCAACCCCGGAACUGCUUUGGAAACUGUGCAGCUAGAGUGCGGGAGAGGUAAGCGGAAUUCCUAGUGUAGCGGUGAAAUGCGUAGAUAUUAGGAGGAACACCAGUGGCGAAGGCGGCUUACUGGACCGUAACUGACGUUGAGGCUCGAAAGCGUGGGGAGCAAACAGG